UAGUUGCUUAUUCUUUGACUCUUGUCCAUCGAAAACCUAGAACAAUCGCAUUAAAAUAGUAUUCGCGUGGUAAAGCAAGCAAGUCCCAUACACAACAACACAAUUUCUUCAUAAGGGGUACAUCUAUAUUCUUGCAAAGACAGCAUUUCAACAUUAUUGUAAUUCAUCGAGAUAUUCAUUCAUCUUUCCUUGGUAUGAGAAGUUUGUGAGGAUUUUACUACCGCAAGCUCGGCAUGGGACGUUCAGGACUCAUAUAGACGAAAGUUUCGCGAUUCCCCAGACUCGUGCCCAAUAUAUCAGUAUUUGUUUAUCAUAUUCGUCUCGGUUCCAGUGUAAUCUUCUUCUUUACCACUUCAAAGAGAUCAUAGUGACGUCAUCGCAAUCAUGCCACUAUCAACGUUAGAGCUCAGGCCGAAAAUCGACUACAGCCAAAACACGUACGGCGACAAGAAAUACAACGUCAUGCACCUCAUCAGCCUUUACAACCAAGACCCCUCCCACUUGCCAUGGCAACAAUCAAAUGGGCGGACCCAAAUCACCCAAGUUCACAGCAUCAAGCUCCCCACCUUGAACUCUCAGGGCUUCGCCAAUCAGAGCGGGUCUUUCUACGCGUCAUCGUCGCAGCCACGCCUUAAUCUGCCGAGCGUUGGGCGUGGCAUGGCCCACAGUACGCUGGUUCCGUUUUCUUCAUACGGCAAACCGACGUGUGGGUAUUUCUUUACCAGAACGACGGAGAAUCGAAAAAUGAGGACGGGGAUUCCCCCGAAAUUUGGGUACCUGAACGUAACCGCACCGCGGAUGCGAUAACUCUGACAUUCUAAACACGCUAACCAGGGCCAAUGACAUUUAAGGAUACUUUUGACUUUGAUAUAGUUGAACUUUGACAUAUCAUCAACGAGCUAAUUGAUAUGGGAAAAGAAAUAAGACGGUUUACUAUAAAGUCUCAUUCUAUGCAUAAUCUUGAAAUCUUAGUGACAAGCUUGUUCUAGGCUUGCCCGAUGUAGCAACGAAUCGAUGAAGAAUUCAAGAUGAUUUGCAUCGCAAAGGUGCUAACGAUGAAAUUUAUGUUUGUAACGGGGUCUCUGUUGGGAA